AGAGACGUCACUGUCCGUUUUAUAAUUUUGGAUUUUUUUAUAAUCUUACGAAUAUUAUUAGCAGAUUUCUUCUGUAAUUAAUUUUCAACAUUUAAUAAAUUAUUUUAUUACAAAAUAGCUUGCAGCGUUUUUUAUUUUAAUUUUGUAAACAUCUGCAUGUUUGUUUUAAGAAGUUAUUGACUUCAGGCAUUGAUUCAUUCUACACAGAAGUUAUGAUUAAAAUUUUACUUAGGUUUUACAUUUAUCAACUAGGUGUUUUGCCUACAUUUGCAGGCUUGAUAAUUUUACAAAACUUUGUAAAUAUAUAUUUUAUCAAUCCAAAAACAAUUAGAAUAAAUAUUUUCAUGCCUUUAAACUAUUUAAUAAUUAAUAUUUAAAAUUUAUAUACGAUAAAGUUUUUUAUUUUAAUAAAAUAUAUUUUAUUAUUUAAAAUGAACUUGAAAACAUUCAUAUAUACAUGAAAUUAUAUACAUGGACUUAUAUUUAUUUUAAAAAUAGUAUGAUGUAAAAUAUUUUGGAUAACAUAAUAUAAAAACUUUUAGGAUAAUGAUGAUUAUCAAACUAAUGAAAUUCAUUUUUUUAUUUAUGGGUAAUUAUCUUAAAAGAUAGAUAAUUCAUUCUAUCCUAUGUAAAAAAUAUAUAUAUAUAUAUAGAGUCGGUUUAAUAUUACUGAACCAAGUAUAAUAUAUAUGAUAUCUUAAUAUUAAUAAAAUAAAUAUUUAACUAUGAUAUUAUUGUUAAUUUGUUUUUAAUUAUUCUCAAUAUAAUGAUAAAUUAUGAGCUAAAUUAUUAAAAUUAUUUAUUUAAAUUAAUAAUUGAGCAUAAAAUAUAACUAAACUUAAGAUUAUGGAGAGCAAGACAAAUCGGCCGGAUAUAUAUCGAAACCAAUUUAAAUUCAACCACACCGUAAAAGUAAAACUAUCAUGCAUUUUAACUAUCUUGUGCGUGUAAACAUAAUUGAGUUUAGUUAUUAUUCGUUAAAAAUUUCCAAUAGAAAUAAUUACGAAAUAAAUUUAUAAUACAAACUAAGUAUUGAUUUUUAAGAUAUGUGUUAGUUACAAAUUAUUAUUGAGCUAGAUGACUUUCCGCGAUAUCGCAGAAUAAUAUUAUUUAAAUAUUAUUUGCAAUAAAUAAGUUUUGUAUAUAAUAAAUUUGAUAAAUUAAUUUUUUGACAAAAAUCCAUAGAGAACUUGUGAUUGGUUAAUAAUGAAGAGUAAUAUUAAAUUUUAUUACAUUAUAUUAAUCAUCUGAAUACAUGCAUCUCAUAAUUAUAAAAAUAGAAAGAAAAACUACAAUACAUGAGUUGAUAUAUACCUAGUGUCUAUGUCAAAUUAAAAAAAUAGUAAGUUUGAAAAUUUUCUAUUAUAUUAAAGACUGGAUCAAGUAAAAUAUCUAAAUUCUAACAUAAUCUUUAUAUCUAUUUAUUUUAUAAUUUUUUUAAAUAUUUGUAUAAAUUUAAAUUGAUUACUCAUUAAUCAAAAUCAUAAAAAACAUAACAAAUAGGCAAAAUACCUAAAUUAUGGAGAGCAUAGCAUGACAAGUAAACAAAUCUAAUUCUCGUAUAAAUUUAAACAAAUUAUUGAUUAUCAAAAUUAAGAAAAAGAAUUCUCAAAGGUAGAAAUAACGUGACAUGGUCACAUCCAUUGGAGGAACAAAAAGCAUGUUCAUAGUUUAGCUGGACAAUGUGGCCUUUUUCAGUCUAAGAGUUCCACAAGUAAUUCAAUUAGGAAACGACAAUGCCUACAACAUGACCAAGUCUUCUUUUUUUCUUAAAACUUCUCUUUUGCAUUUUAAGAAUUUUUAAUUCUAGUGGAAAAUAAUUCAGAAAUUCACACAAAUCAUUCAGUUAUAUAAUCUAUUUUUAAUUCUUCCUCGUCCAGUAACAUAUAUGUGUUUAGUUUUGUGUAUAUUAAACAUUUUUUAAAUUUAAUUAAUUGUUUGUUUCUAUUUAAUUAGUUAUAUGAGUUUAAGAUUUAUAUUUAGGGUCUAGACGACUUCCAGGAAAUCUUUUGGUAAUUAGUAUUUCUCGGAAAAAAAAAUUUAGUUUCCCGCUAAAAUAUUUUAGUUUCCCGCUAAAAAUAUUUUAGUUUCUAAAAGACUUACUUAAAAGUCUUCUGAACCAAAAAAAUUUAACCUUAUUGAAAUUUUUAUCUUCAUUUAUAAAGAAAAUUUACACAUUAUUUUUCUUCCUCUCAAAUGGCUGCAACAAAAAUGUAAUGUUUUUCAUUCUAAAACUCUUCAACCUCUCUCUAAUCUCUUUGAACUUAAAAACACCAAAUUUUAUAUCAAUUUAUAAUUAUUUCAUGUCUUCUCACUGUUUUAUCUUGUUUUUGCAGGUUUUUCAUUACAUCAUUUUCAUCUUCCACUCCUUUAAAGGUAGAUCUAUAAAUCAUAUUUUCUUAUUUGGUAACCUAUUGUUGUUUAAAGCUCUUACCUUUUGAAAAUAACUCUUUUGGUUGUUUUAAGCUCUUACCUUAGUUUUGAAGUUUUUCUAUGUUUUAAAGCCAUUUGAAUGCUUUUGGAUAUGCCGAUUUUUCAGAUCUAGGACAGACGCGGAAGACUUCCCAUUUCUCGGAAGUCUUCUAACAUUUAAUGCAAUAGAAGACCUCAUGGAAGCUAGCAGACUUCAUGGAAGUUUUUUGGAAGACUUCUGACGGAGUCUUCUCCCAUGUCAUAUCUUUCAUUUCAGGUUUUUCAUUACAUGAUUUUCAUCUUUCACUCCUUUAAAGAUCUGAGAUAGACUUACAAGACUUCUAAUAUUUAAUGCACUAGACGACUCCCUGAAAGUCUUUUGGAAGUUUUUUGGCAAAGUCUUCUCCCAUGUCAAGUGGAGUCUAAGCUUGUCUUUGUGGUGGAAUGAGAGUCUAUCUAGUAUAUUUAUAGGAUCAAGAGUGAUUUGGAAGAAAAUGAUGAUUUUGAAGAAUUUUGGAGAUAUUUGGAGAAAGCAUCCGAGCUGACCAUCGAGCACGACCAUCGGUCGACAUUGAAGAGAAAUAAUCGAUCGAUGUUCACAUCGUGACAUCAAUCGACAGCGAAGCGCGCAGAAGCCUGUUUGGUUCCAGCCGACUUAAAGCCCAAGUCUUCACCAAUUUACAAGAUUACCCCUGACGAGUUUUAACCUAAUUAUAUAAAUAGUGCUUUCUUGUUUUACUAUUUUCACAGCAAAAGGUUUUCUCGGAUUUUUUUGUAGCUUGGAGAGAACAUCCAAAGAUAUUUUUGAUUGGAACUCCAUUGAUAUAUAUCUAUUUAUCUAUGCAGAAUUUAUACCUAAUUGUUAUUAUGAAUUGCUUAGCCAUGCCUGAGUAGUUAUCUUGUUAGGUUUAGAGUUUAAAUAGGUUAUGAGGGAUUAGCCCCAACUAUAGAUUGCUAAGUUGUAAUAUUCAUCAUUAGGAUUAUCAUUAAAGCUUGUUUCUAGUUAAGCUAGCUAGAUCUUGAUCUAGGAGUUUGAGGUAAAGGUCAUCACUUGCAUCUCUCCCUGAAUCCAUCCAAAUUGAGCUAAGAUUGCUAAGUAAGGCGAGAGCUGAUCUCAGAAGCUUAGUGAGCACAUUCAACCCGCGCGUUAAAGCUUGGCCAAACGCGUCAAUCGAUAUUCUAAUCAAAUAAUCGGUCGACGGUUCAACAAGUGUAUCGAUCGAUAUUCCUAUAGAAUCAUCGACCGACACUUAUAUCUGGUCAAUAGACAAACCUAGAAAGCGAGAGCCUAUCGGUUUGUUUAUAAGUGUUGAGAUCUAUAAUAUUAUGCAUACAACUUAUCAGACAUCUGUAGGAUUAUAAUCAUGAUUAUCUGAAUAAAAACCCUAAGCCUAGCUACUUUCAUCUAAGUACCAAAACCCCAAUCAAAUCAAUCGAGCAACUGCCUUGCUCACAAACUUGCAACUUUACAUUUAAUCAUAAUCAACCAAGCUUAAUCAAUCUGAUUAGAUUUAUUAGAUUCCCUUGAUCCCCGUGAAUUCGAUCCUUAUAUACUACAAUUGAACCUUUUAUUUGAGAGAAUAAUUCACUCCAUAAGGUAAUUUGAGUAAGAUCAUUUAUGGUCUAUUUUGUAAUUUGUAUGUGUAUUCUUUUAGUUGUGAUUUGUUUUGGUAAAUUUGAAAAGAUAUUAAUAAAAAAAUUGGUAAAUAUGUUCAUGUCUACAAUAUUAUCUUGCCAAAAGUACUUGAUAUUAAGGAAGCUAUUGUUACAACUUCAACAGCAAAACAAAUAACACAAAAAAAUAGUCAAAUUUACUGCAACAAAUGGAGAAAAUUUCUCAAGAAAACUUAGUCAAAUGCACAAAAGAUCAAACAUUACAUUAGUUAAAACCUAUAAUAGUUUCAUUAAAAGUCUUUUCGGAAGUCUUACAGAAGACUUCUACUCAGAAGACUUAAAUUUCAAGCGGGAAAUUUAAAUAUAAAUGGGAACUUUAAGCGGAAAACUCAAAUUUUAAAUGAAAAUUAAAAUUUCAAAUUUCAUGAAAGUUAAAAAGUAUAUCUUAUGAUAUAAGAAGACACAUUAAACCAUAUGACUUGAUAUUUUUGAAGUUACUUAACACUUUUGAAAGUUAAAAAAUAUAUAUCUUAAAGUUGAAAAUAAAAUUUUUACAAAAACUAACGUAGAAGACUUCUGGAGAAGUUUUUCUCUCAUUAACUAGAAACAUUAAUAAGCAUAAAUGUUGUUAACCUCAUAAUUAUCACCAAUUAAGUUAUGAAUUUCAUUCAGAAGCCACAAUAUUAACUAAUAUACAUCAAUUAACAAGAAAAUGUUAAAAAGUCUUUAUAGUUUUAGAGAAAAUAAAAUUUCAUUAAACGUUGACGUAGACGACUUCCAUAGAAGUCGUCCGGAAGACUUAUACGGAAGUCUUCUGGUCAAUGCAUAGAUUAGUUUUGCAAUUGACUUUAUGUGUGAGAAAGUUGAAUUUUUCUAGGUGACUUACAUGGAAGUCGUCUAGGAUAAACAUGUUAGUUUUGCAUCUGACCGGAUUAUGUUAGAAAUUUGAUUUUUCCUAGACGGCUUACACUGAAGUCGUCCAA